rnacentral:rRNA from 1 species
GACGAACGCUGGCGGCGUGCUUAACACAUGCAAGUCGAACGGAAAGGCCCUGCUUUUGUGGGGUGCUCGAGUGGCGAACGGGUGAGUAACACGUGAGUAACCUGCCCUUGACUUUGGGAUAACUUCAGGAAACUGGGGCUAAUACCGGAUAGGAGCUCCUGCUGCAUGGUGGGGGUUGGAAAGUUUCGGCGGUUGGGGAUGGACUCGCGGCUUAUCAGCUUGUUGGUGGGGUAGUGGCUUACCAAGGCUUUGACGGGUAGCCGGCCUGAGAGGGUGACCGGCCACAUUGGGACUGAGAUACGGCCCAGACUCCUACGGGAGGCAGCAGCAGGGAAUAUUGCACAAUGGGCGGAAGCCUGAUGCAGCAACGCCGCGUGCGGGAUGACGGCCUUCGGGUUGUAAACCGCUUUCGCCUGUGACGAAGCGUGAGUGACGGUAAUGGGUAAAGAAGCACCGGCUAACUACGUG